GAUGAACGCUGGCGGCGUGCCUAAUACAUGCAAGUCGAGCGAACAGACGAGGAGCUUGCUCCUCUGACGUUAGCGGCGGACGGGUGAGUAACACGUGGAUAACCUACCUAUAAGACUGGGAUAACUUCGGGAAACCGGAGCUAAUACCGGAUAAUAUAUUGAACCUCAUGGUUCAAUAGUGAAAGACGGUUUUGCUGUCACUUAUAGAUGGAUCCGCGCCGCAUUAGCUAGUUGGUAAGGUAACGGCUUACCAAGUCAACGAUGCGUAGCCGACCUGAGAGGGUGAUCGGCCACACUGGAACUGAGACACGGUCCAGACUCCUACGGGAGGCAGCAGUAGGGAAUCUUCCGCAAAGGGCGAAAGCCUGACGGAGCAACGCCGCGUGAGUGAUGAAGGUCUUCGGAUCGUAAAACUCUGUUAUUAGGGAAGAACAAAUGUGUAAGUAACUAUGCACGUCUUGACGGUACCUAAUCAGAAAGCCACGGCUAACUACGUG
rnacentral:rRNA from 1 species